CCUACGGGAGGCAGCAGUAGGGAAUCUUCCACAAUGGGCGAAAGCCUGAUGGAGCAACGCCGCGUGGGUGAAGAAGGUCUUCGGAUCGUAAAACCCUGUUGUUAGAGAAGAAAGUGCGUGAGAGUAACUGUUCACGUUUCGACGGUAUCUAACCAGAAAGCCACGGCUAACUACGUGCCAGCAGCCGCGGUAAUACGUAGGUGGCAAGCGUUAUCCGGAUUUAUUGGGCGUAAAGGGAACGCAGGCGGGCUUGUAAGUCUGAUGUGAAAGCCUUGGGCUUAACCGGAGUAGUGCAUUGGAAACUGGGAGACUGGAGUGCAGGAGAGGAGAGUGGAACUCCAGGUGUAGCGGUGAAAUGCGUAGAUAUAUGGAAGAACACCAGUGGCGAAAGCGGCUCUCUGGUCUGUAACUGACGCUGAGGUUCGAAAGCGUGGGUAGCAAACAGGAUUAGAUACCCGGGUAGUC
rnacentral:rRNA from 1 species